rnacentral:lncRNA from 1 species
UGGGUCCUUAGACAGGAGACAUGCAGAGGUCAUGUGACAUCCCAGGUCUCAGAAACUGCAAGAGAGCUGGGAUUGCCCACAGCCCAAGAAUAGAGCAUCCUGCAGAAUGAGUUGCCACCCCAAGAGCCCACUGCUGAGCACCAUCCCCAGCAUCCACAAUCUUCCUUGGAUGAAUCUUCUUCCAUAUAGUUCAUUUCCUUAGGGUGAAUAGGCCCUAACUAGGAAGCCAUGGCUGAUUCAGGGUGUUAUUCCCUUUUCUCUUCAGACAACUCCCAUUGGCAGAGAACUGAGGUUAUUGCACUGCCACCAAGUGUCCAGGAGGAGUAACAGGCUGUAGGUCUGUGCUGCUAAAUGUGCAGAAAGAGAAAUCAGC